AUUGAACGCUGGCGGCAGGCCUAACACAUGCAAGUCGAACGAGUGGCGGACGGGUUAGUAAUGUCUGGGAAACUGCCCGAUGGAGGGGGAUAACUACUGGAAACGGUAGCUAAUACCGCAUACCAUCGGAUGUGCCCAGAUUGGAUUAGCUUGUAGGUGAGGUAACGGCUCACCUAGGCGACGAUCCCUAGCUGGUCUGAGAGGAUGCCCAGCCACAACGGAAUGUAGCGACGGGCCCGAACCCUACGGGAGGCCACAGUGGGGGAUAUUGAACAAUGGGGGCAAGGCUGAUGCAGCCAUGACGGGGGUAUGAAGGAGGCCUUCGGGUUGUAAAGUAAUUUCAGCGGGGAGGCGUUACCCGAAGAAGAAGCACCGGCUAACUCCGUGCCAGCAGCCGCGGUAAUAC
rnacentral:rRNA from 1 species